rnacentral:rRNA from 1 species
GUACCCUGGUAGUCCUCGCUGUAAACGAUGUCGACUUGGAGGUUGUUCCCUUGAGGAGUGGCUUCCGGAGCUAACGCGUUAAGUCGACCGCCUGGGGAGUACGGCCGCAAGGUUAAAACUCAAAUGAAUUGACGGGGGCCCGCACAAGCGGUGGAGCAUGUGGUUUAAUUCGAUGCAACGCGAAGAACCUUACCUACUCUUGACAUCCAGAGAACUUAGCAGAGAUGCUUUGGUGCCUUCGGGAACUCUGAGACAGGUGCUGCAUGGCUGUCGUCAGCUCGUGUUGUGAAAUGUUGGGUUAAGUCCCGCAACGAGCGCAACCCUUAUCCUUUGUUGCCAGCGGUUCGGCCGGGAACUCAAAGGAGACUGCCAGUGAUAAACUGGAGGAAGGUGGGGAUGACGUCAAGUCAUCAUGGCCCUUACGAGUAGGGCUACACACGUGCUACAAUGGCAUAUACAAAGAGAAGCGACCUCGCGAGAGCAAGCGGACCUCAUAAAGUAUGUCGUAGUCCGGAUCGGAGUCUGCAACUCGACUCCGUGAAGUCGGAAUCGCUAGUAAUCGUGGAUCAGAAUGCCACGGUGAAUACGUUCCCGGGCCUUGUACACACCGCCCGUCACACCAUGGGAGUGGGUUGCAAAAGAAGUAGGUAGCUUAAC